rnacentral:piRNA from 1 species
UUAAUUCUCAUUAAUAGUUGCUAGAUAAAU